AGAACGAACGUUGGCGGCGUGGAUUAGGCAUGCAAGUCGAACGAAGACGGGGUAGCAAUAUCCCGGACUGAGUGGCGAAAGGGGCAGUAAGCGUGGUAACCUACCCUGGGGACCGGGAUAGCCUUUCUAACGAGAGGGUAAUACCGGGCGACGUAGCGAGGGGGCAUCUUCUUGCUACCAAAUGAAUUUCGCCCUGGGAGGGGCUCACGUGCUAUUAGCUAGUUGGCGGGUAACGGCCCACCAAGGCUGAGAUGGCUAGCAGGUGUGAGAGCACGACCUGCGCCCCUGGCACUGAGACACUGGCCAGACUCCUACGGGAGGCUGCAGUCGAGGAUCUUUGGCAAUGGGCGCAAGCCUGAACCAAGCCGACGCCGCGUCGCGCGAUAGG
rnacentral:rRNA from 1 species